rnacentral:rRNA from 1 species
GACGAACGCUGGCGGCGUGCUUAACACAUGCAAGUCGAACGGAAAGGCCCUGCUUGCAGGGUACUCGAGUGGCGAACGGGUGAGUAACACGUGGGUGAUCUGCCCUGCACUUCGGGAUAAGCCUGGUAAACUGGGUCUAAUACCGGAUAGGAGCCAUUUUUAGUGUGAUGGUUGGAAAGUUUUUUCGGUGUAGGAUGAGCUCGCGGCCUAUCAGCUUGUUGGUGGGGUAAUGGCCUACCAAGGCGGCGACGGGUAGCCGGCCUGAGAGGGUGGACGGCCACAUUGGGACUGAGAGACGGCCCAGACUCCUACGGGAGGCAGAAGUGGGGAAGAUUGAACAAUGGGCGCAAGCCUGAUGCAGCGACGCCGCGUGGGGGAUGACGGCCUUCGGGUUGUAAACUCCUUUCGCUAGGGACGAAGCUUUUUGUGACGGUACCUAGAGAAGAAGCACCGGCUAACUACGUG